UACGUAGGGGGCAAGCGUUGUCCGGAAUCAUUGGGCGUAAAGAGCGCGUAGGCGGCCCUGUAAGUCCGCUGUGAAAGUCAAGGGCUCAACCCUUGAAUGCCGGUGGAUACUGCAGGGCUAGAGUCCGGAAGAGGCGAGUGGAAUUCCUGGUGUAGCGGUGAAAUGCGCAGAUAUCAGGAGGAACACCGAUGGCGAAGGCAGCUCGCUGG
rnacentral:rRNA from 1 species